GAACGAACGCUGGCGGCGUGGAUAAGACAUGCAAGUCGAGCGCUGAUUUGAUGGUAGCAAUAUUGUCAAGUCGGAGCGGCGCAAGGGUGCGUAACACGUGGGAAUCUGCCUUGAAGUGUGGGAUAACUCCGAGAAAUCGGAGCUAAUACCGCAUGUGAUCGUAAGAUCAAAGUUGGGGAUCGCAAGACCUGACGCUUCAAGAUGAGCCCGCGGCCUAUCAGCUAGUUGGUGAGGUAAUGGCUCACCAAGGCUAAGACGGGUAGCUGGUCUGAGAGGACGACCAGCCACACUGGAACUGAGACACGGUCCAGACACCUACGGGUGGCAGCAGUCGAGAAUUUUUCUCAAUGGGCGAAAGCCUGAAGGAGCGACGCCGCGUGGGGGAUGAAUGGCUUCGGCCCGUAAACCCCUGUCAUUUGCGAACAAAUUGAUUCACCUAACACGUGUAUCAUUGAUUGUAGCGGAAGAGGAAGGGACGGCUAACUCUGUGCCAGCAGCCGCGGUAAUACAGAGGUCCCAAGCGUUGUUCGGAUUCACUGGGCGUAAAGGGUGCGUAGGCGGUUGGGUAAGUUUGACGUGAAAUCUCCGGGCCUAACCCGGAAACUGCGUUGAAUACUAUCCGACUAGAGGAAUGGAGGGGAGACUGGAAUACUUGGUGUAGCAGUGAAAUGCGUAGAUAUCAAGUGGAACACCAGUGGCGAAGGCGAGUCUCUGGACAUUUCCUGACGCUGAGGCACGAAAGCCAGGGGAGCAAACGGGAUUAGAUACCCCGGUAGUCCUGGCCCUAAACGGUGCGCGUUUGCCGUGAGUGGAAUCGACCCCGCUCGUGGCGAAGUUAACACGUUAAACGCGCCGCCUGGGAAGUACGGCCGCAAGGUUAA
rnacentral:rRNA from 1 species